rnacentral:rRNA from 1 species
UACGGGGGGGGUAAGCGUUGUUCGGAAUUACUGGGUGUAAAGGGUUCGUAGGCGGUUCGGCAAGUCGGGUGUGAAAUUUCGAGGCUCAACCUCGAAACGCCACUCGAUACUGCUGUGACUGGAGUCCGGUAGAGGAGUGCGGAAUUCCUGGUGUAGCGGUGAAAUGCGCAGAUAUCAGGAGGAACACCAACGGCGAAGGCAGCACUCUGGGCCGGUACUGACGCUGAGGAGCGAAAGCGUGGGGAGCAAACAGG